CAGCAGCAAAACACCUGGCAGGCCAGAUAAAUGUCCUCGGUGGGCCACGUGUUUGAGGACCCCUGUAAGACGGCGGGGGCUGGCAUAUCUUGGAGAAAGGUACGCAGACAGUAGAAGAGACGACACUUGGCGCAGGCAUUGGCUUUCAUGAGAUUAACACCCGCAGAGCAGAUGACUCCCUCUCAUGCUAACACGAUCAGUGCUUCCAUUUCUUCUGACUCCAGAGUGGCUGAGCUUGUCGCCAAAUCCAACGGCUCCAGGAAGAAGCCUGAAGCUUCUCUAGACUUAGAGGAUUUCACCGCAGGCAGCUCUUUGUGAAGAGAUCACCCCUUCAAAACGAUACCAGUUGUUAGACCUGUUGCUAAAUAUGGCUAUCGGCUGCCUUGACAAAGAAGCAAAAAUGUUAACAUAGCACAAAUUUGUUUUUCUUA